UGAGUGGCGGACGGGUGAGUAACGCGUGGGCAACCUGGCCUGUACAGGGGGAUAACACUUAGAAAUAGGUGCUAAUACCGCAUAACGGGGGAAGCCGCAUGGCUUUUCCCUGAAAACUCCGGUGGUACGGGAUGGACCCGCGUCUGAUUAGCUGGUUGGCGGGGUAACGGCCCACCAAGGCGACGAUCAGUAGCCGGCCUGAGAGGGCGGACGGCCACAUUGGGACUGAGACACGGCCCAAACUCCUACGGGAGGCAGCAGUGGGGAAUAUUGCACAAUGGGGGAAACCCUGAUGCAGCGACGCCGCGUGAGUGAAGAAGCGUUUCGGCGCGUAAAGCUCUGUCAGCGGGGAAGAAACACGGUUCGCGAGAGCCGCGGACGGUACCCGACCAAGAAGCCCCGGCUAACUACGUGCCAGCAGCCGCGGUAAUACGUAGGGGGCAAGCGUUAUCCGGAUUCACUGGGUGUAAAGGGAGCGUAGACGGCGAGACAAGUCUGGAGUGAAAGGCCGGGGCCCAACCCCGGGACUGCUCUGGAAACUGCCUGGCUGGAGUACAGGAGAGGUAAGUGGAAUUCCUAGUGUAGCGGUGAAAUGCGUAGAUAUUAGGAGGAACACCAGUGGCGAAGGCGGCUUACUGGACUGUAACUGACGUUGAGGCUCGAAAGCGUGGGGAGCAAACAGGA
rnacentral:rRNA from 1 species